GCAUAAUCGAUAGUUUUUUAAUUGGAAACUGGAAUGAAGGGUUUAAACUAAAGAGAUAGUUUUAUUUAAUUAUCUUGAAUUUAAAUUAAAAGUAAAAAUGCUUUUAUAAAGUUUUGGGACGAGAAGACCCUAGAAGCUUGUGAUUGUAAAAUUUUUAGUUGGGGUAACUUUUGAAGAUAUUAAUUUUUGAAAAUUUAUAGGAUUUUAAAAUAAAGUUACUCUAGGGAUAACAGCAUAAUUUAAUUAACAAGUUCUUAUUAAUAAUUAAGUUUGUGACC
rnacentral:rRNA from 1 species